rnacentral:rRNA from 1 species
UACGAAGGGGGCGAGCGUUGUUCGGAAUUACUGGGCGUAAAGGGCGCGUAGGCGGCCGAUCAAGUCAGAUGUGAAAGUCCUGGGCUUAACCUGGGGACUGCAUUUGAUACUGAUUGGCUUGAAUGCAGGAGAGGAUAGCGGAAUUCCCAGUGUAGAGGUGAAAUUCGUAGAUAUUGGGAAGAACACCGGUGGCGAAGGCGGCUAUCUGGGACGGUACUGACGCUGAGACGCGAAAGCGUGGGGAGCAAACAGG